GGGGCUGGGGUGUCCCCCUCUCCGCCCCGGAGGGGAAGGCCCACUUCACCCCACUGUGGCCCGGCUGUACAUGGUUGUGUGCAAAUUGGAGCUUCAGCACCUGUUUCCAGUUCUUCGGGGCGUCGGUCCGGAGUGGGGUCGCCCAAGCAGCGGCCGGCGCCGUCUGCAACUCGCUGGGAAAGACGCAGCCUUGUCCCUUCCAGGCGAGCUUCGCGUGUUGGUGAUUUAAAGUGUUCUCCCUCAUUCCCGUCGUAGCGUGAAGCGGGGGUGGGUUUAGUUUUCUUUUUUUUUUUUAUUAAGAUUUAUUUAUGCAUACAAGCGCUGGGGUACAGGCCAGAAGUAUGGGGGGGGCGGUGAGAGGACUCACCAGAGACAGAGUGGGGAGCGGAAAAGGCAGAUGUACGGAAAUCCACUGCUGAGGGGAGCAGCGGGGAGACAGGAGAGGUCUGCUGCGCCCUGUGGGUAGCUCCCUGGCCGGGGAUGGAACUCGUGCUGCAGGGGCUGCGGACAGCUUCCUAGUGCUGUGACUUAGCCCCUGCGCCGCCAGGGAGGCCCUGGGUUUAGUUUUGUGUUUCUGUGGCAACUGGCGAUGCUGACAGGCUCUUCGGGUGCGGUGGGGGCGUUGGUCCGCGUCCUCUGGAGGAGACUAUUCCAGUCCUCAGGUCACUUUUCAAAUUGGUUUGUCUUUUUGUUAGUCGCCAAAGACCUUGUGUGUCCUGACCCCCAGACUCUUAUCUCUGCACACUGAGGCAUCUGGGCUUAUUCUUGGCUGAAACCAUCUUUUGAGUAAUCCCUGCGCAGACUGCGCUGAUGCACUGACAGGUUUUCUGCACCAGUGGCAGCCCUGGGAGAAACCCAGGAUGUUGCCACAAAUUUAAUGGAAAAUUAAGUUUUUCAGCUGUAGAAUGUUAGUAACUGCCACGUAUGUUUAAGCUCAAAUGUGCAGAUUUGCCGAGUAAGCAGCAUGUCAUCUUUGAACGCUUUGGAAAAUGUUUGCUACAAAAUAAGUAGGUCAGAAUAUUUAUGGCAAGGGAUAGUAUGUUUUUGGAUUAUAUGCCUAGACGCUAGAAUGUGGAGGUUUAUCUGUUCAGUUGACUAACAUGAAAACACUGACAGUGGGAACUGGCUCCCAUUCCUUGAAAGACUUAUUAGGUCACGCACCACAGAUCAAAAUGAACUGAAAUUAACAAAGUAAUAGUAACUGGGUAUGGGGGAAGGGCCUUAUCCGUAGGCUGACCCCAAGUGCUGUUCAGGGGUCCAUGUCUUUGGGGAAUGUCUCUCCUCCCUCUGUUGGGAUGUUUGGCCUGCAGAGUCCUGUCUCCUGUAAUCUCCCCCCCCAUCCCCCCAAUGGGGGAGCCCCUGAGGGCAAGCAGGCUCACCUUUAUCAUAAGCCUCCCUUUAACACCUGCUCCCGAGGCCACAUGGUACUCUAUUCUGUGUGCCCCCAGGGGUGGCCAGAGCAGGAGCCUCGAAGGUGGUCUCAGGCCUGGAGGACCCUGCUGGUAUCUGCACCUUCACACAAGGCCUGCCCGCCCACCCCAUCUUUCAAGGCCCUCCCUGCACACUUCACCCCUGAUCUGCUCCUCCCCCUCCUCCCCGCUCCCCUCACUGCACCCCCAAGGCCCUCCCUGUUCUGUCCCCAGUGUCACAAACUGAAAGAGCAUCUGAUUCACGGGCCCCACUUCCAAGUGGGGACCUGCCUAUCUUUGGACAUCUUGGCUGGCAUGGCACCACUCUCCGACAGUGCAGACAGCUCGCUGACUUUAUGACAUUGGGGGCCUGGGGGCCUUGGCGUAGAUGAUGGUGGGUACCUGAGGCUGCUGAUACCCAAAACUCAGCCCUGACCCCAAGCACAGCAUCGCCUUCCUCUCUGGGGGCUCUGCCCUGUACCCCCCGCAGCUGUGUCAACCACUGUUUCCUGUCCUCCCCUUUCUUCUGGUGAAGUCCCAGUAGCUCUGUGAGUGCUCCCUCGAGUCCAGAGCUGCCCCAUCUCUGAUUCCAGAUCCUGCCCGGGCGGGAGCCCCUCACCAAUCUGUUACAGGGCAGGGAGAGGGGCACCCCAGACCCCGCAAACCUGCCCGCUCUAAAUAGAUUCUGUCAUCCGCCACAUUAGCAUAAAACAUAUGAGACUUUAAUGGGAAGGAACUUUAAUACAAUUGGAAAACAAUACAGGAAAGACAAAGGAUAUAGUUUUUAAAUCAAGUACCCAAAGUUACCCGUCCCCUCGUGGGUAAAAGUCCACCCAAGCAGGAGUGGCCCACCGGGAGCUGAGACCUUUGUGCAGGGGAGCGGCUCUCUCUGGCAGAAGCUGCACAGCGGCUGGGUGGUGAGUCUGAGAACCUGUGGGACCGGGUCACGCUGGGUAAGAGUGGGAAGGGGAACUGGGCCUGUGGGAUUCCUGGGGUGCAGCGUCAGCUUACUGGGAAGGGACACGGAGUGCUCCCCAAAGCAGGAUGGCGGGAGGUCUGUACAAUUGUGGUCUUUAUAAAAACCUUUAUAAAAACCUAGGAGAAAUACCCUGUGCCUUCAGCUGGAGCCAUUUCCCUUUUUCCUGAAAACGCUCAUAUAAUCGAUCCCGUGACAUGUUUUCUGUUUCAGGCUAAUGAACAGCGCCCCUGAUGUUGACAAAGCUCAGGGUGACCAGGAAGCUCAGGUGUUGCCCCGGAUUCCUUCACUGGCCUUGAGGAGGGCGUUCCUGCCACACGCCACGGGGACCAGACAGCUGUCCCUUGAGUGGCACUGACGUCCCUGUACAGCACUGGCAUGGUGUGCACAGGAGGCAAAUGUAAGAUUUAAAUCGGAACGUGAAACAGGCAAUAAAGGUGGAGCCGGGUCACAGCCCAGGCCCUGGUCACGUGACAAUGACGCCCACAGCCUAGGUGGCACCCGCCACUGCGCGCCAGGCCAGGCUCGCUCGUCUGGGGCUGUCCUCGCUGAGGCUGGGCCCGCCGGCUCACUUGCUGGCAGGAGCAACGGCGCAUCGCCUCUGCCUGGGCUGGGCUGGCCCCAGGUCUUCAUCCUGCCCGUGUGUGCCUCACUGGCACGCUCUCUCCUCAAGCCCCCAUCUGCCUGACUGACUCUCUCAAGGGUGAGUCUCAGCUACUUCCAGGUGGCCCUGCCCGACCUCCCCGGGUGUGUGUCAGGGACCCCUUCCAGGGAAGACUGAGGCAUCUCAAGCUUCUCCGCCACAGCCCUUGCAGGCGCUGAUGACAUUUUGUAAAUUCAAAUGGAAAUGGAGGCAAACAUAUUCCAUGUCCUCUCGAAAAACAGUUAACCUAAAAAUUCUGAGGUCCAGGUGGAAGCCUCACAUGUCCCCACAGUCUCAGUGGAAAUAUUUGUGAUGAUACAAAUUUUAUUUGGUUUGUACCCAGUUUGGUUUCAAAAUUGCUGAAAUGUGUUGAGCCUGAGACUCUUAACAUUUAUUGUAAUUGCUCGGUUGAAAUUCACCAUGUGAGAAAAGGGGGCAUUGAGGGGAGGGCAGACACUGCGAAGGUGUCUGCGGUGUGUGAGGCACAUUCUUCCCUUGACAGCUUACAAAUUCAUUUGGAGUGAAAUAUUUUGAGGGGGAAAAAAAACCCUUUUUUAAAUGGGGGUUUAAAUAUUGUUGGCCUUUGUAUGGUUCCCAGAGGGGACUUUCUUUCUCUCUUCUUGGUGCUCCUGACCUUGCGUGGUUUGCAAGCUUGCCCUGCAGUAAGGCCACUGUGGAGCUGCCGCACAAGUGCAUAUCUAUUUAUUUUUAUACAAGAAGCAGGGUACAGGCCAGAUGCACAGGAGGGUGAGAGGAUUCACUGGAGACAGAGCGGGGAACAGAACAGGCAAACUGAAGAAAUACACUGCUGAGAGGAGCAGCAGGCGAGACAGGGAAGGUCUGCUGUGCCAUGUGAGAAUCUCGCCUGCCAGCUGGGAUCGAACCUGCGCUGCAGAGGCUACAAACAGCUUCACAGUAUGGUGCUCAACCACCUGUGCCACCACGGAGGUCCUAAGAUGUUUUUCUGUAACCACAUGGAAUUCUUAAGACUUUUUAAAAAUUACUCUUCCCCUGCCAAGGAGCAAGGAGGUAAUUUUACCAGUGGAGUUUUCAUCAACUUCUGUUACAGGUCCUGAUAAUGAUAGGGAGUUGUGUAUAUUGUAGAAAAUGUGAAGAGUAGAAUAAAAUAGGAUGAACAGUAUCAACAAGUACUCUUAUGACUUAGCACAUUUCCUUCCUAGAUUUUUCCCCAAUAUUUGCAAUUGUGAAAUAGAAUGCCUGUGUAGAAGGUAGGUAGUAGCUUGAGAAUUAUAAAAUGAGCUUCCAUUAAAUAGGUCAAGAAAUGUAAAAUCACAUCAUAGCAUGAUCUUCCUCCAUAAGGAAGCCUCUAUAUGGCUGUCACUAAAUUUUUUUCUUUGCUCUUCACUACAUAUUCUAGGUAUGUAUCACUGCAUGUAUCAUUAAAAUGUGGUUUUAAUUUUGUCAUUUAAUAUUUAAAUAAAUUAAAUCAUGUUCUGUUUCUGUCUUGAAUGUCACUUAACAGUAUGAAGGCAAGACUAGUCCACAAUUUGGAUGCAGCUUGAGACUUUUCACUGCUGUAUAAUACUCCACUCGAUGUACAGUUGUUGUUUACAUUGUGUUCUCAUGCAUAAGGGUUAAGGAGAGUAUGCUUACAUCAUCGCUAGAAUUUUAUAUUUUACUUCAUCAUUUAACAUUGCAAUAUAAGUACUUUCCACAUCAUUAAAAACUAGUGUUACUGUAUCUGUCUACUUUUUACAUUUAAUUUUGUAUAUAUUGGGGGUUUUCA